GAUAAUGAAAAAAGAUCAGAGAGCCAGGGGACAGCCCCAGGCUUCCAGAAGAAGCUGCAAGAUGCUCGUGUGGCAGAGGGCGAGAAGCUGCUGCUUCAGUGUCAGGUGUCUUCUGACCCCCCAGCCACCAUCACCUGGACGCUGAAUGGAAAGACCCUCAAGACCACCAAGUUCAUCAUCCUCUCCCAAGAAGGCUCACUCUGCUCUGUCUCCAUCAAGAAGGCACUGUCUGAGGACAGAGGCUUAUACAAGUGUGUAGCCAAGAAUGACGCUGGCCAGGCUGAGUGCUCCUGCCAAGUCACCGUGGAUGAUGCUCCAGCCAGUGAGAACACCAAGGCCUGGGAGAUGAAAUCCCGGAGGCCCAAGAGCUUUCUUCCUCCUGUGCUAGGAACAGAGAGUGAUGCAACUGUGAAAAAGAAACCUGCCCCCAAGACGCCUCUGAAGGCAGCAAUGCUCCUUCAGAUCAUCCAGUUUCCUGAGGACCGGAAGGUCCGUGCAGGAGAGUCAGUGGAGCUGUUUGGAAAAGUGGCCGGCACCCAGUCCAUCACCUGUACCUGGAUGAAGUUCCGAAAGCAGAUCCAGGAGAGCGAGCACAUGAAUGUGGAGAACAGCGAGAACGGCAGCAAGCUCACCAUCCUGGCCGCGCACCAGGAGCACUGCGGCUGCUAUACACUGCUGGUGGAGAACAAGCUGGGCAGCAGGCAGGCCCAGGUCAACCUCACUGUCGUGGAUAAGCCAGACCCCCCAGCCGGCACACCUCGUGCCUCUGACAUUCGGAGCUCCUCGCUGACCCUGUCCUGGUAUGGCUCCUCGUAUGAUGGGGGCAGUGCUGUACAGUCCUACAGCAUCGAGAUCUGGGACUCAGCCAACAAGACAUGGAAGGAACUAGCCACAUGCUGCAGCACCUCUUUCAACGUCCAGGACCUACUGCCUGAUCACGAGUAUAAAUUCCGUGUACGUGCAAUCAGUGUAUAUGGAACCAGUGAGCCAAGCCAGGAGUCUGAGCUCACAAGAGUAGGAGAGAACCCUGAAGAGCCGAAGGAUGAAGUGGAAGUGUCAGACGAUGAUAAGAAGGAGCCUGAGGUUGAUUACCGGACGGUGACAGUCAAUACCGAACAAAAAGUAUCUGACUUCAUGACAUUGAAGAGAGAUUAGGAUCUGGGAAAUUUGGACAGGUCUUUUGACUUGUAGAAAAGAAAACUCGAAAAGUCUGGGCAGGGAAAUUCUUCAAAGUAUAUUCAGCAAAAGAGAAAGAGAAUAUCCGGCAGGAGAAUCGGCAUCAUGAACUGCCUCCACCACCCCAAGCUGGUCCAGUGUGUGGAUGCCUUCGAAGAAAAGGCCAACAUCGUCAUGGUCCUGGAGAUCGUGCCAGGGGAUGAGCUGUUUGAGCGCAUCAUUGAUGAGGACUUUGAACUGACGGAGCGCGAGUGCAUCAGGUACAUGCGGCAGAUCUCGGAGGGGGUGGAGUACAUCCACAAGCAGGGCAUUGUGCACCUGGACCUCAAGCCUGAGAGCAUCAUGUGUGUCAACAAGACGGGCGCCAGGAUCAAGCUCAUUGACUUUGGUCUGGCCAGGAGGCUGGAGAACGCGGAGUCUCUGAAGGUCCUCUUUGGCACUCCGGAGUUUGUGGCUCCUGAAGUGAUCAACUAUGAGCCCAUCAGCUAUGCCACAGACAUGUGGAGCAUCAGGGUCAUCUGCUACAUCCUGGUCAGUGGCCUUUCCCCCUUCAUGGGAGACAACGAUAAUGAAACCUUGGCCAACGUUACCUCAGCCACCUGGGACUUCAACGACAAGGCAUUCGAUGAGAUCUCCGAUGAUGCCAAGGAUGUCAUCAGCAGUCUGCUGAAGAAAGAUAUGAAAAACCGCCUGGACUGCACGCAGUGCCUUCAGCAUCCAUGGCUAACGAAAGGUACCAAUAACAUGGAGGCCAAGAAACUCUCCAAGGACCGGAUGAAGAAGUACAUGGCAAGAAGGAAAUGGCAGAAAACGGGCAAUGCUGUGAGAGCCAUUGGAAGGCUGUCCUCUAUGGCAAUGAUCUCGGGGCUCAGUGACAGGAAAACCUCAACAGGGUCACCAACCAGCCCACUCAAUGCAGAAAAACUAGAAUCUGAAGGUGUGUCCCAAGCUUUCCUUGAGGCCGUUGCUGAGGAAAAGCCCCAUGUAAAACCCUAUUUCUCUAAGACCAUUCGUGAUUUAGAAGUUGUGGAGGGAAGUGCUGCUAGAUUUGACUGCAAGAUUGAAGGAUACCCGGACCCCGAGGUUGUCUGGUUCAAAGAUGACCAGUCAAUCAGGGAGUCCUGCCACUUCCAGAUAGACUACGAUGAGGACGGGAACUGCUCUUUAAUUAUUAGUGAUGUUUGUGGGGAAGAUGAUGCCAAGUACACCUGCAAGGCUGUCAACAGUCUUGGAGAAGCCACCUGCACAGCAGAGCUCAUUGUGGAAACAAUGGAGGAAGGCGAAGGGGAAGGGGAAGAGGAAGAAGAGUGAAUCAAAGCCAGACAAAAGCAGUUUCUAAGUCAUAUUAAAAGGACUAGUUCUCUAAAACUCAAAAAAACUCAAGAUAGCAAAAGCACCUAGUUGUGAUAGAUUAUCUAGAUAGGUCAUUUUUGUGUUGAUUCUUCAGCAACAGCAGUUGGUACCUGGCAGCGUUAUUGAUGGGCAUUAAUCCACCUUAGCUGGCACUUAAGAUACUAGUGCCGCUAGAUUUCAUUUAGGGAAAUCACCAGUAACUUGCCUGACCAAUUGAUUUUAGAGAGAAAGUAACCAAACAAAAUGUUUAUCUGGGCAAAGUCAUAAAUUCUCCACUUGAAUGUGCUCAUGAAAAAUAAGGCCAAAAGGAGGGUUCUGGGCCACAGCUCAGCCCAGAGGGUCCCUGGAGACAGGAGGCCUUUCUCUCCUCACCCCCUGACUCCAGAGAACUGGGUUUUCUCCCAGUACUGCAGCACCUCCUUCUGAAAGCAGUUGAGCCAUUCUAACUUAUCAGGCACACUUGAUUCCAAAGUACACUGCAGGCAUUCAAACUCUCCAUUUCUCUUUCCCCUUCCACCUGCCAGUUUUUCUAGAUCUGAACUUGUCAUGAAUUUAAGCAUUAGCAACAUUAUGCUUCUUAAAUUCUGAAGACAGGUCCCCUGCUCAUGGAUGACUCUGGCUUCCUUAGGAAAAUAUUUUUCUUCCAAAAUCAGUAGGAACUCUAAACUUACCCCCUCUUUGCAAAUGUCUAGCAGCUUUAGACAUUUGGUUAAGAACCCAUGGGGAAAAAAAAUGCUAAUGUGGUUUUCUUUGUAACCAGGAUUCAUAUUUAUGUUGUUACAGAGUAUCAGUUCUGCAUGUGUGGUAAAGAUUUUUGUGUUUGAAUGCAGGAAAAACCAGUUUGCUGAAAUGUUAGUCUUAAUUAUCUAUUGGCCACUAUGAAACAGAUUUCAACUGAUAAAGAGCUGGAGAACUCCAUGUACUUUGGAAUCUUCUCCAAGACAGUCAGAGUUUAAUUCAUCUUCAUUCUCAACACUCUCCAAAGAACUCGACCUACCUUAUGGGUUCCAUAUCUUUCUUCUUAAAUGUGCAUCAAUCAUGCCUUGCCCUCAACCUUUAAAUAUAUUCUUAGACCUGGUAAAUGCACUCAGACUUGCACCUUUAGGAAUUUUUAGCUUUCUUUCACUACAUUGGCACUUAAAUUUUUUCUUUAUAAAACUUUUUGAAGGUCAUAAACAAAGACCAUAACUGAUAGACCUGAUACAUUUCCCGUGUGUGUGUGUGUGUGUGUGUGUGUGUAUGUGUGUGUGUAACAUUCCAAAUACUUUUUUCCCCCCACUGUUUGUAAGGUGCAGCCAUUUAAUAUUUUAAGGGACUUUUUAAAGAGUUCCUUAAGAAUCAAUUUAAAAUUACUUCAGUGCAAUACUACAUAGUAUCAACAUUAGAAUUUUGAUAUUAGUCUUACCUUAUCUUCCAUUCUAUUUUUAUCUGCUUUUUGCUGCUAGUUUCAAAUUGCCAGUAUUUUUCCUUUUGCUUUUAAAAUAGUUACAAUAUUUUUCAUAAUAGCCACAGUAUUGUCACAGUUUAUAAAGGGGUUUUAUUUGAUUUAGAGCAUUCAAAGCUUUUCUCCAUCACUUUUAAUUGUGUUCAGAAUAUAACCUUUGUGUGCAUGUAUGUUGUGUGUGUGCAUGUGUGG